rnacentral:RNase_P_RNA from 1 species
CGACCGGAUCGGACAGCCGCGGAUGGAAGCCGAAAGGCUCCAGAUGAGGAAAGUCCGGGCUCCACAGGGCAGGGAUAACGGGUAAUGCCCGCCGGGGGUGACCCCAGGACAAGUGCAACAGAGAGAUACCACCGCAGGGUCCGCCCUGCGGCCAGGGUGAAAAGGUGCGGUAAGAGCGCACCCGGCCCAUGGUAACAUGGGUUUUACGCUGUAAACUCUAUCCCGGAGCAACGCCGUGGAGGAACGUAUGGUCUGCCCGACCGUUCCGAGGAGGCGGCUUGAUCCUUUGGGCAACCAAAGGGCUAGAUAGAUGGCUGUCAAGACAGAACCCGGCUUAUAGAUCCGUGUCGUGGA